rnacentral:rRNA from 1 species
UACGAAGGGGACUAGCGUUGUUCGGAAUUACUGGGCGUAAAGCGCACGUAGGCGGAUUUGUAAGUCAGGGGUGAAAUCCCGGGGCUCAACCUCGGAACUGCCUUUGAUACUGCAAAUCUCGAGUCCGAUAGAGGUGGGUGGAAUUCCUAGUGUAGAGGUGAAAUUCGUAGAUAUUAGGAAGAACACCGGUGGCGAAGGCGGCCCACUGGAUCGGAACUGACGCUGAGGCGCGAAAGCGUGGGGAGCAAACAGG